rnacentral:lncRNA from 10 species
UAUCCUAAACAUGUGCUUGUUACCUUAUGCAACAACAUGGCUGAUCUGACUCCACCAUUAAGUCCUAGUUCCGGGUAGGAAGAAAGCCAAGAGCAAAAGGUGUCACCUACGUGCUAGCAAAGUCUGUCCAAAAACCUGCUGGGAGGAGAUUUUACAGAAAACCCACAGAACAACUAGAGAGAGUGUCCCCAGUCACAAUUGGAGUCUUAUGUAAG